rnacentral:rRNA from 1 species
AGCGGAGAGAGGUAGCUUGCUACUGAUCUUAGCGGCGGACGGGUGAGUAAUGCUUAGGAAUCUGCCUAUUAGUGGGGGACAACAUCUCGAAAGGGAUGCUAAUACCGCAUACGUCCUACGGGAGAAAGCAGGGGAUCUUCGGACCUUGCGCUAAUAGAUGAGCCUAAGUCGGAUUAGCUAGUUGGUGGGGUAAAGGCCUACCAAGGCGACGAUCUGUAGCGGGUCUGAGAGGAUGAUCCGCCACACUGGGACUGAGACACGGCCCAGACUCCUACGGGAGGCAGCAGUGGGGAAUAUUGGACAAUGGGGGGAACCCUGAUCCAGCCAUGCCGCGUGUGUGAAGAAGGCCUUAUGGUUGUAAAGCACUUUAAGCGAGGAGGAGGCUACUUUAGUUAAUACCUAGAGAUAGUGGACGUUACUCGCAGAAUAAGCACCGGCUAACUCUGUGCCAGCAGCCGCGGUAAUACAGAGGGUGCAAGCGUUAAUCGGAUUUACUGGGCGUAAAGCGCGCGUAGGCGGCUAAUUAAGUCAAAUGUGAAAUCCCCGAGCUUAACUUGGGAAUUGCAUUCGAUACUGGUUAGCUAGAGUGUGGGAGAGGAUGGUAGAAUUCCAGGUGUAGCGGGUGAAAUGCGUAGAGAUCUGGAGGGAAUACCGAUGGCGAAGGCGGCCAUCUGGCCUACACUGACCUGAGGUGCGAAAGCAUGGGGGAGCAAACAGGAUUAGAUACCCGGGUAGUCCAUGCCGUAAACGAUGUCUACUAGCCGUUGGGGCCUUUGAGGCUUUAGUGGCGCACUCACCGAUAAGUAAACCGCCGGGGAGUAGGGUCGCAAGGACUAAACUCAAUAAAAUGACGGGGGCCC